rnacentral:rRNA from 1 species
UUAAGUUAGAAAGGGCGCACGGUGGAUGCCUUGACACUAGGAGUCGAUGAAGGACGGGACUAACGCCGAUAUGCUUCGGGGAGCUGUAAGUAAGCUUUGAUCCGAAGAUUUCCGAAUGGGGAAACCCACCAUACGUAAUGGUAUGGUAUCCUUAUCUGAAUACAUAGGGUAAGGAAGACAGACCCAGGGAACUGAAACAUCUAAGUACCUGGAGGAAGAGAAAGCAAAUGCGAUUUCCUGAGUAGCGGCGAGCGAAACGGAACAUAGCCCAAACCAAGAGGCUUGCCUCUUGGGGUUGUAGGACAUUCUAUACGGAGUUACAAAGGAACGAGGUAGACGAAGCGACCUGGAAAGGUCCGUCGUAGAGGGUAACAACCCCGUAGUCGAAACUUCGUUCUCUCUUGAAUGUAUCCUGAGUACGGCGGAACACGUGAAAUUCCGUCGGAAUCUGGGAGGACCAUCUCCCAAGGCUAAAUACUCCCUAGUGAUCGAUAGUGAACCAGUACCGUGAGGGAAAGGUGAAAAGCACCCCGGAAGGGGAGUGAAAGAGAUCCUGAAACCGUGUGCCUACAAAUAGUCAGAGCCCGUUAACGGGUGAUGGCGUGCCUUUUGUAGAAUGAACCGGCGAGUUACGAUCCCGUGCGAGGUUAAGCUGAAGAGGCGGAGCCGCAGCGAAAGCGAGUCUGAAUAGGGCGUUUAGUACGUGGUCGUAGACCCGAAACCAGGUGAUCUACCCAUGUCCAGGGUGAAGUUCAGGUAACACUGAAUGGAGGCCCGAACCCACGCACGUUGAAAAGUGCGGGGAUGAGGUGUGGGUAGCGGAGAAAUUCCAAUCGAACCUGGAGAUAGCUGGUUCUCCCCGAAAUAGCUUUAGGGCUAGCCUUAAGUGUAAGAGUCUUGGAGGUAGAGCACUGAUUGGACUAGGGGUCCUCAUCGGAUUACCGAAUUCAGUCAAACUCCGAAUGCCAAUGACUUAUCCUUAGGAGUCAGACUGCGAGUGAUAAGAUCCGUAGUCAAAAGGGAAACAGCCCAGACCGCCAGCUAAGGUCCCAAAGUGUGUAUUAAGUGGAAAAGGAUGUGGAGUUGCUUAGACAACUAGGAUGUUGGCUUAGAAGCAGCCACCAUUUAAAGAGUGCGUAAUAGCUCACUAGUCGAGUGACUCUGCGCCGAAAAUGUACCGGGGCUAAAUACACCACCGAAGCUGCGGAUUGAUACCAAUGGUAUCAGUGGUAGGGGAGCGUUCUAAGGACAGUGAAGUCAGACCGGAAGGACUGGUGGAGUGCUUAGAAGUGAGAAUGCCGGUAUGAGUAGCGAAAGACGGGUGAGAAUCCCGUCCACCGAAUGCCUAAGGUUUCCUGAGGAAGGCUCGUCCGCUCAGGGUUAGUCAGGACCUAAGCCGAGGCCGACAGGCGUAGGCGAUGGACAACAGGUUGAUAUUCCUGUACCACCUCUUUAUCGUUUGAGCAAUGGAGGGACGCAGAAGGAUAGAAGAAGCGUGCGAUUGGUUGUGCACGUCCAAGCAUUUAGGCUGAUAAGUAGGCAAAUCCGCUUAUCGUGAAGGCUGAGCUGUGAUGGGGAAGCUCCUUAUGGAGCGAAGUCUUUGAUUCCCCGCUGCCAAGAAAAGCUUCUAGCGAGAUAAAAGGUGCCUGUACCGCAAACCGACACAGGUAGGCGAGGAGAGAAUCCUAAGGUGUGCGAGAGAACUCUGGUUAAGGAACUCGGCAAAAUGACCCCGUAACUUCGGGAGAAGGGGUGCUUUCUUAACGGAAAGCCGCAGUGAAUAGGCCCAAGCGACUGUUUAGCAAAAACACAGCUCUCUGCGAAGCCGUAAGGCGAAGUAUAGGGGGUGACACCUGCCCGGUGCUGGAAGGUUAAGGAGAGGGGUUAGCGUAAGCGAAGCUCUGAACUGAAGCCCCAGUAAACGGCGGCCGUAACUAUAACGGUCCUAAGGUAGCGAAAUUCCUUGUCGGGUAAGUUCCGACCCGCACGAAAGGUGUAACGAUUUGGGCACUGUCUCAACCAGAGACUCGGUGAAAUUAUAGUACCUGUGAAGAUGCAGGUUACCCGCGACAGGACGGAAAGACCCCGUGGAGCUUUACUGUAGCCUGAUAUUGAAUUUUGGUACAGUUUGUACAGGAUAGGCGGGAGCCUUUGAAACCGGAGCGCUAGCUUCGGUGGAGGCGCUGGUGGGAUACCGCCCUGACUGUAUUGAAAUUCUAACCUACGGGUCUUAUCGACCCGGGAGACAGUGUCAGGUGGGCAGUUUGACUGGGGCGGUCGCCUCCUAAAGUGUAACGGAGGCGCCCAAAGGUUCCCUCAGAAUGGUUGGAAAUCAUUCGUAGAGUGCAAAGGCAUAAGGGAGCUUGACUGCGAGACCUACAAGUCGAGCAGGGACGAAAGCCGGGCUUAGUGAUCCGGUGGUUCCGCAUGGAAGGGCCAUCGCUCAACGGAUAAAAGCUACCCCGGGGAUAACAGGCUUAUCUCCCCCAAGAGUCCACAUCGACGGGGAGGUUUGGCACCUCGAUGUCGGCUCAUCGCAUCCUGGGGCUGUAGUCGGUCCCAAGGGUUGGGCUGUUCGCCCAUUAAAGCGGUACGCGAGCUGGGUUCAGAACGUCGUGAGACAGUUCGGUCCCUAUCCGUCGUGGGCGUAGGAAAUUUGAGAGGAGCUGUCCUUAGUACGAGAGGACCGGGAUGGACGCACCGCUGGUGUACCAGUUGUUCUGCCAAGGGCAUAGCUGGGUAGCUAUGUGCGGAAGGGAUAAGUGCUGAAAGCAUCUAAGCAUGAAGCCCCCCUCAAGAUGAGAUUUCCCAUAGCGUAAGCUAGUAAGAUCCCUGAAAGAUGAUCAGGUUGAUAGGUUCGAGGUGGAAGCAUGGUGACAUGUGGAGCUGACGAAUACUAAUAGAUCGAGGACUUAACCAU